CCCUCUCUCCGUUUAUCUCCUGCGAUUGUCGGCGGCGGAGUCCCCAAAAUCUCUGUUCUCUCGGUGUUGGUGGUUUUGCUCGUGUUAGGGUUUCCAGAUUUUGUCGCCAGCUGAGAUCGGAUCUGAUUGGAGCUCACAAUCUCUGCAUCUAGGUUGGAAACCAAGUAUCAAUCGAAUCCUGAACAAUUCAACCAGUUGUAUAGUUUGGUGAGUGUUGAGGUUGAAGCUAAAACAGCAAAAGGAUCAUCCAGCUGCACCAAUGGUCUUCUUUGGUUGACGAGGGUAAUGGAUUUCCUAGUGGCAUUGUUUCGCAACUUACUGGAGCAUCCAGAUUGGCCGAUGUCACAGGCUUUUACA